rnacentral:misc_RNA from 1 species
AAGUCGUAACAAGGUUUCCGUAGGUGAACCUGCGGAAGGAUCAUUAAUGAAAUGAUUUUUUUUUUGGGGUUUUUAAAUUCCAAAAAAAUAAUUCACCUUUUGUGCACCGUUAUUAGAUAUACUUUGGUUAGAGCUUUGGUUCCAAAAACAAUUGGGAUCAACUUCUUGCUGACUCUAUCCUUUCUGAGGACAGUUGGCUAUGAAGCGGCCUACCAAGGUUUUUUAUCAAACACUUGUAUUUUGUCUGACCUAAAAACAAAUAAUUAAAUCAUAACUUUCAACAACGGAUCUCUUGGCUCUC